GAUGAACGCUGGCGGCGCGCCUAACACAUGCAAGUCGAACGAUUAAAGCACCUUCGGGUGUGUAUAAAGUGGCGAACGGCUGAGUAACACGUGUGCAACCUGCCCCUUUCAUUGGGUUAGCCACGGGAAACCGUGGAUAAUACCGAAUACUUCGAGACUUCCGCAUGGAAGACUCGAGAAAGCUCCGGCGGUGUGUGAUGGUCCCGCGGCCUGUUAGCUUGUUGGUGUGGUAACGGCCUACCAAGGCAAUGAUGGGUAGCUGGGAUGAGAGACCGACCAGCAAGAAUGGGACUAAGAGACGGCCCAGACGGCAACGGGAGGCAGCAGUGGGGAAUCUUGCACAAUGGGCGAAAGCCUGAUGCAGAGACGCCGCGUGCGGGAAGAAGGCCUUCGGGUUGUAAACCGCUUUAAGAAGGGACGAGGCGAAAGUGACGGUACCUGCAGAAGAAGCACCGGCUAACUACGUG
rnacentral:rRNA from 1 species